UGGAUGAUCUGCCUUUUAGUGGGGAAUACCGUUGGGAAACCGACGACAAUACCGCAUAAGCCCCUUUUUUAAAGAGAAGCGGGGAAAGCAGCAAUGCGCUGAAAGAGGAGUCCGCGGUCGAUUAGGUAGUUGGCAGGGUAAAAGCCUACCAAGCCUGUGAUCGAUAGCCGGCCUGAGAGGGCACACGGCCACACUGGCACUGAAACACGGGCCAG
rnacentral:rRNA from 1 species